rnacentral:rRNA from 1 species
CAACAACGGAUCUCUUGGCUUUNGCAUCGAUGAAGAACGCCGCGAAAGUGCGAAACGUAAUGUGAAUUGCAGAAUUCAGUGAAUCAUCGAAUCUUUGAACGCAUCUUGCGCUCCUUGGUAUUCCGAGGAGCAUGCCUGUUUGAGCGUCGUGUGUAGAAACUCAAGCGCCCCCUUUUUAGGUUGGGGGCUUGGACUUGGACGUCUGCGGCAAGGUGGGCUUUUGCCUCCGGCCGCUCGUCUUCAAACGCAUCAGCUGGUCCCUCAUAGUCGGUUCAACGACGGUGUGAUAAUAGACGCUCUGUUGACUGNGGCGCCGUCCGUUGCCGAUUUGGCCUGGCUCACAGCCGUCCCGAAAGGGACAACACCUGCGACAUCUGACCUCAAAUCAGGUAGGACUACCCGCUGAACUUAAGCAUAUCAAUAAGCGGAGGAAAAGAAACUAACAAGGAUUCCCCUAGUAACGGCGAGUGAAGCGGGAAGAGCUCAAAUUUGAAAUCUGGCGGCCUUUGGUCGUCCGUA